rnacentral:tRNA from 1 species
GGCUCCAUAGUGUAGUGGUUAGCACAUCUGCUUUACAUGCAGAAGGUCCUGGGUUCGUGCCCCAGGUGGAGCCA